rnacentral:rRNA from 1 species
GACGAACGCUGGCGGCGUGCUUAACACAUGCAAGUCGAACGGAAAGGCCUUUUCGGAGGUACUCGAGUGGCGAACGGGUGAGUAACACGUGGGUGAUCUGCCCUGCACUCUGGGAUAAGCCUGGGAAACUGGGUCUAAUACCGGAUAGGACCGCACUUUAGUGUGUGUGGUGGAAAGUUUUUUCGGUGUAGGAUGAGCCCGCGGCCUAUCAGCUUGUUGGUGGGGUAAUGGCCUACCAAGGCGGCGACGGGUAGCCGGACUGAGAGGGUGGUCGGCCACAUUGGGACUGAGAUACGGCCCAGACUCCUACGGGAGGCAGCAGUGGGGAAUAUUGCACAAUGGGCGCAAGCCUGAUGCAGCGACGCCGCGUGGGGGAUGACGGCCUUCGGGUUGUAAACUCCUUUCGCCAGGGACGAAGCGUUUUGUGACGGUACCUGGAGAAGAAGCACCGGCUAACUACGUG